rnacentral:rRNA from 1 species
UACAGAGGUCUCAAGCGUUGUUCGGAUUCAUUGGGCGUAAAGGGUGCGUAGGUGGCGCGCUAAGUCAGGUGUGAAAUUUCGGAGCUUAACUCCGAAACUGCAUUUGAUACUGGCGUGCUUGAGGACUGGAGAGGAGACUGGAAUUCACGGUGUAGCAGUGAAAUGCGUAGAGAUCGUGAGGAAGACCAGUGGCGGAAGGCGGGUCUCCUGGACAGUUCCUGACACUGAGGCAGCGAAGGCCAGGGGAGCAAACGGG